rnacentral:rRNA from 1 species
CUGCUGCCUUCCGUAGGAGUUUGGACCGUGUCUCAAUUCCAAUGUGGGGGACCUUCCUCUCAGAACCCCUACGCAUCGUCGGCUUGGUGGGCCGUUGCCCCACCAACUACCUAAUGCGCCGCAUGCCCAUCCGUGACCGGAGUCGCCCCCUUUGGCCGGAAAGGGAUGUCCCUUCCCGGCGUCAUGCUGUAUUAGGCGGGAUUUCUCCCGGUUAUCCAUCUGUCACGGCCAGGUUGCAUACGUGUUACUCACCCGUGCGCCGGUCGCCGG